rnacentral:tRNA from 1 species
AGCGCUGUGGCAAAGUGGUUAGUGCGUCUGCCUCGUACCCAGAGGUAAUGGGUUCAGGCCUCGUCGCUGCUA